rnacentral:miRNA from 1 species
CCACUCAGUCGCCCCGCCACA